UACAGAGGUCCCAAGCGUUGUUCGGAUUCACUGGGCGUAAAGGGUGUGUAGGCGGCGCGCUAAGUCGGGUGUGAAAUUUCGGAGCUUAACUCCGAAACUGCAUUCGAUACUGGCGUGCUUGAGGACUGGAGAGGAGACUGGAAUUCAUGGUGUAGCAGUGAAAUGCGUAGAGAUCAUGAGGAAGACCAGUGGCGAAGGCGGGUCUCUGGACAGUUCCUGACACUGAGACACGAAGGCCAGGGGAGCAAACGGG
rnacentral:rRNA from 1 species